rnacentral:misc_RNA from 1 species
CAAAUACACAAAAAUAGAGAAAUGAGAAAACCAAAAGCCACAGAGAAAACCAUACUCUAACCAUAAUUGAAAGUCUUAUCAGAACUAAAAAUUUCUUAAUUAAUACAAACACUUCUCCUGUGACUAUCCCUCUCUCUCUCUCUACUCCCAAAUCUCACUCGCCCCUCACCUACUCUCUCAAUCCUGAUAGCAUUUCCAGGGAAAAUGCAGAAUAAUCCACCAGAAACCCAUUUUUGGUUGUCCAUUUCUUGCUCAGUUUGUUGAGGUUUCACCAAUUUAUCUUGGUUUUGCAGGUUGUAGCCAUGAAACCCACUACUGUUAUUUCCAGUUUCAUGUGAGAGCGUCAAAACCCAAAUUGUUUUUUCAAGAGGCAAUGUGACGAAACAGCAGAAACAGGACUUUUUUUCCUCGCAUAAUGGUGGCUGCUAUACCUCAAGCAGUGGCUUCUUCCACUGAUAAUCCCCAGAGACCCCCACUAUUGCCUUCUGAGAAAGAUCAACAAAACAAUGGUGGUCAUGUUCCAGCAAGAAAACCCAGAGGAAAACAAGUCCCUUCUAGAUAUCUUUCUCCUUCUCCUUCCUCUUCUACUACCACAACAACAACUACUACAACCACUAGUACAAUUUCUUCUUCCUCUUCCUCUUCAUUUUCUAAGAGAUUCCCUUCACCCUUAAUUUCGCGCUCCACAAAUUCUGGCGCAGCACAUACUCCAUCCUCCUUUUCUUCUUUUUCGGGACCCAAAAGAUCCCAAUCUGUAGAUAGAAGACGGUCAGUGACUCCAAGGCCAACAACGCCGAACCCUGAGUCUAAACAAGGCAAUGCCACUGAAAUGUCAGCUGCAACAAGGAUGCUGAUCACUUCUACAAGGAGUUUAUCGGUGUCUUUCCAAGGGGAAGCAUUUUCACUCCCGAUUAGCAAGGCUAAGGCUGUGAGUUCACCAAAUGUGGGUAGAAAGGCCACUCCAGAGAGGAGGAAAGCGACUCCUGUGAGAGAUCAGGGGGAGAAUUCGAGGCCUCUGGAUCAGCACAGGUGGCCGGGGAGGAGUAGAGAAGGGAAUUUGGUUUCGACGGAAAGAAACCCGUUGUUGUCUAGGAGUUUGGAUUGUAGCGCUGGAGAUAAGAGGAUUAUGGGAUCUGGGUUGAUGAUGGUUAAGUCAUUGCAGCAAUCAAUGAUGAUUGAUGAGAGGAGGUUGAGCUUGGAUUUAGGCAAUGCUAAGCAAAACCCAGAUGCCAAUUGGGUUCAUGAUUCUUCUCUUGCUGGUGAUCUCACUGCAUCUGAUAGUGACAGUGUUUCCUCUGGUAGCACAUCAGGACUGCAUGAAUUAGGUGGUGGGAUUUCGAAAGGAAAAAGUGGGGCUCGUGGCAUUGCUGUUUCUGCAAGGUUUUGGCAAGAAACUAAUAGCAGGUUGAGGCGGUUACAGGAUCCCGGUUCACCAUUAUCUAUUAGUCCUAGUUCCAGAAUGGGCAUUUCAUCAAAGACCAUUCAAUCAAAAAGAUUUAGUACUGAUGGUCCUAUGGCAUCUCCCAGAACAAUUGCUUCUUCACCUAUUAGGGGAGCCACGAGGCCUGCGUCGCCUAGUAAGCUUUGGACACCUUCAGCUUCAUCUCCGUCAAGAGGGAUUUCCAGUCCUUCAAGGGGAAGACCCAUAAGCAGUAAUUCGAGUAGCAUGCCUUCAAUUCUUAGUUUCUCUGUUGAUUUAAGGAGAGGGAAGAUUGGGGAGGAUCGAAUUGUUGAUGCACAUGUGUUGAGGCUUCUGUACAACCGUUACUUGCAAUGGCGGUUUGUAAAUGCAAGGGCAGAUGCUACCUUCAUGUUGCAGAGACUAAAUGCAGAGAAAAAUUUGUGGAAUGCAUGGGUAACAAUCUCAGAACUACGGCAUUCUGUCAUUCUUAAAAGAAUCAAGUUACUGUUGCUGAGACAGAAGUUGAAGCUGACUUCUAUCCUCAAAGGCCAAGUAAGAUUCAGAGGCUCACUUCAAUUUUGUUGAAUUGUUGAAUCCGUUUAGAAUUUCUGGUAAACUAUCCUUGUUUAACAAUCAAUUGCCUAUUGCCGUUUCUAUUUUUAUUGUAGGGUUUAGUCUCUAUGUUAUAUGUGAUGAUACAAAUUUUUUGAACUUGCAGUAUUUAAACUGGAAAACAAGUCGGGAAUAUUUAAGAGGGUGUUUGGUUCGAUUUAUGAGUCAGUCAGGGCCUCAAAUGUUGAAAUUUAUCUGUGUAAUAGGAGUUUCUAGAUCUCAAGUUUAUGCCAAAUUUGAGAGACCCCUUUGACUUAUACUGAGCUUUUGUUCUAGUUGGUUCUGUUUGUAUAUUUUCUUAACUGUUUUUUGGAAUUAGGAAGUUCAAACUUCAAACUGGAUGUCGAUGUUAAUGCAUAUAAUGAUUGAUAGAGAUGGUCAUCAUGUGGGUUUGAAAGUAAGACUGAGGCAGGGAAACAUAGGGGAGAGAAUGGAGAUGAGAGGACAAAAACCUAGAGGAGAUUACUUGAAUUGGGGAUUGUUUUCUGACCUUAGAAGGAAAUGAUAUUUGGCAUCCAAGACAAACUCAAUGAGUUGGACAUGGCAUUCAUGUGAAAUCGGAUUAGCAAGGUAAUGAUGGCCAUAUCUUUGCAUGCUUGACAUUCAUAAUUCCCUGUAUUUGCCAUGAAAAAAAAAAAAGCUUAAAUAUGGGCUUUGCUCUUCAGCAUCUUCAAUGCCACAUUCAUGACCCAUACCUGUCAGCUAGUCUCCAUUCUCUAUUUGAACAUAUGCAUCAUUGACUUUUUUUAUUGUUAUUUGAGUACUCCAUACUACAAGGUGUAUGCCCUGCUAAGAUUUGAAUUCAGUUUGUCAGUUUUCAUCACCUCCAUCAUUUCCAGUUUGCUGAAAUUCUUGUUGGCAUUCUUGAUCUUCUAUGUGAAAUUUUGCUGCUAUUAUCAUUGCUGUCUUGUAUAGAAUAUACAAUAUAUACAAUUCAUUCAACAUUGUUGAAUUUAUUGACCAAAAGAGAAUAAUUUUAGCAUCUUUGUAAUAUUGUUCUCUUGAAGGAACCAUGAUUUUGCCUCAAUAGGAUCUUUACUACAAUUACAACUUUCUUCUUACAUUUCUGUCUUAUCCUUUUUCUUGAUGAGUCAUUUACUGAAUCUUAUCUUUUACAUGAUUAGAGAAAUGAGCUAAAGCUGUUAAAAUGACAGAAAUUGACCAGAUAGUGUUUUGAACAUAUUUAUUCAUUUCCAAAAAUAGAAACUAUUUUAUAGAAAGAUGGUAUGUCAACUUUUUGCUAUUCAAAUCAAGUUUUAGUCCACUGCAGGUCUUGACCUUCAAGCAAUCAAAAACAUCUCUUUACCUUGAUAAUUAGUAACCAAACUGAAACCUCAGAAAUCAUUUCAAUCUGGAACUAUAGGGAAUGAUAGCUGUGUAACUUUGACUUAAGUAAGUUUUUAGACUGUGAUCAAUUCCCCUCAAUGUGUUGAUAUUUCUUCUUAGGUGAAUUUUAGUCUUGAUUUCUUUAUUCACUUUAAAGGUUAUUUUGUUUGUAAAUUGUUAGUGGCAUACAGAUUGACUGUUAUAUUUGCUUCCAUUUACCAUUUGUGCCCUCAAAUUCCUUUUAGUGCUCCAAAAAUGUUUUGAUUCCGAGGAAGUUUAUUUCUAGCUAGUUGGUGCUUGAUGUGAAAGUGAGUCUGGAUUGUUUUUUUCUGAAAUCAUUUGGAGGGUGUUUCACACAAUUUGAUAGGCCAGUGAAGCAUUGUAAAGAGCCUGGGAAUUCCCCUAACUUGCUGUGAGAUUUUGGACAUUUAUAGAGCUAUGGAUUGUAGAUCUCAAGUUUCUUGGUCAUUUUUUCAAGAGGUCAAUUGUCACAGAAGUUGGUUGUACAGUUCCUUUAUGAAACGAAAUUGCUCACUAAUUUUGUUUUGUAUUAAUCAUGUCAACUAUGCUGGCCUGUUGAUAAACAUAAUUUAGAAGGAUGUUAUUUGCUGCUGUUGUCCACAGGCAGAUGUGUAUGUAUAUGUAUAUGCAUAUUUAUCUUGUGCUGCAUUAGUAGGAUUCUCUUUUCAUAGCUGAAGCUUGCUGUACAUGUUGAAUGUAGAUUACUUAUUUAGAAGAAUGGUCUCAUCUGGAUAAGGAUCACUUUACCUCUUUGGAAGGAGCAACUGAAGCUUUGAAGGCCAGUACUCUUCGUCUUCCAAUUGUUGGAAAAGCAAUAGUUGACGUUCAAAAACUUAAGGAUGCUAUUGGUUCUGCAGUCGAUGUGAUGCAAGCAAUGGCAUCCUCUGUAUGCUCACUAUCAUCAAAGGUGGAGGAAAUCAAUUCCCUGGUGGCUGAAAUUGUGAAUAUGACAGCGAAAGAAAAAUAUUUUCUUGAACAAUGUAAAGGUUUCUUAUUGACAUUGGCAGCCAUGCAGGUUAAGGACUGUAGCUUGAGAACGCAUAUAUUACAAUUAAAUCGAUUACGGACUACCAGCAACCUGACAACACGUGUGUAGAACUGAUCUCACUUGACCACUCACUCUAAAAGCUAACAUUACACAGAACCUCUUCUUUUUCCACAGGAUGGAGGUGCACUGGAGGUAAUAAACUCGGAUUGAAUUAGCAAGUUUUGGCUUAUUCACAUUUGGAUUUUUUGAACCAGUUGUGGUCUUCCAUGUAAUGUUUCGAGUAUCUUUGUGUCCGAAAACUAAAGUUGGCAUUUCUUCCUACUAAUUAGCUGUAUACAAAGAGAACACACUCUUUUUGGCUUUUCAGGCAAAAGGAAGUAAUGUAUUUGUAUAUAUAAAUAUAUAUAUAUAUGUGUAACGUUCAUGGCUUAUCUGAUCACUGAUUAUUGUUAUUAUUUAGUCCUUGGCCUACUUGAUUUUA